ACGUAGGGGGCAAGCGUUAUCCGGAUUUACUGGGUGUAAAGGGAGCGUAGACGGCAUGACAAGUCUGAAGUGAAAGCCCGGGGCUCAACCCCGGGACUGCUUUGGAAACUGCCAGGCUAGAGUGCAGGAGAGGUAAGUGGAAUUCCUAGUGUAGCGGUGAAAUGCGUAGAUAUUAGGAGGAACACCAGUGGCGAAGGCGGCUUACUGGACUGUAACUGACGUUGAGGCUCGAAAGCGUGGGGAGCAAACAG
rnacentral:rRNA from 1 species